rnacentral:misc_RNA from 1 species
AAGUCGUAGCAAGGUUUCCGUAGGUGAACCUGCGGAAGGAUCAUUAAUGAAUUUUAGAGUGUCCUCUUCAUCAGAGGAACUCGACCCUUCAUUUCCAACACUGUGAACUUUAAACCUGGGAUGCCGCUCUUAACGGAGUGAAUUCCCAACCAUUUAUAAACUCUACCAGUUUAAGAAUGUAACAAAUACAAAACAAAAAAA